ACUGGUGGCCAUAAAGGUGUGGCCCGACCCGAUCCCAUCCCGAACUCGGCCGUCAAACGCACCCUUGCCAAUGGUAGUGGUUCUAUAGGUUCCGCGAGAGUAGGUAGCCGCCAGUU
rnacentral:rRNA from 1 species